UGGGAUUCGCGUUAAGGUGCGGGGUUGGAAUUUGGAACGAGACUACGAGAGUGAACGAGUCGGAAAUCGGAAGCCAUUCUCUGACAAACAUCGGCUCUCAAUUGCAUGCUUAGAUCAAGUAAAUGAAGAGAAUUUUCAGACGAGAGAGAAUCAGAAUUUGUGAAAUGCGACGAAAUUGAUUAUGGGUUUUCCAUGAGAGAAGCUUGAGUCGACGACGAUGGUAUGUGUUGCUCAACAUGUGAUGAACGGAUUGAUCCAAGCGUCUGGUGCUUACCUACCAGUGAGGAUGGAUACGGUUCUUUCUUCAGACACAACUGGCCGGUUACUUGUUGGCAAUUGGAUUCUUAACUACUGCGGUUGUGUUUUUAGCAGCAUUGUUAUCUGUUGCUACAUGACUAAUUUAUUAGUUGUUGAUCACUGUUCUUGUUAUGCAUAUUUUAUCUAGUAGUUAUGAUUGAAAAUUUGAAAUGGCUGUUAAUUUACUAGCGGCCUUUUAAAAUCUUUUAUUGCUUAAGGUGCCGCUGAGUUGCCUACCAAAAAGGUAACACUAUUAAAAAGAGUGCAUGCAAUUGAUCAAAAAAAAAAAAAAAAAAGAAAGAAAACGGGUGCGUGCAUGUCAAAUUUGCUUCUUAUAGACGCCUGUUCAUGCAUGUCUUUGCUUCCUACUGAUUUCUGAUUAUGCAUGCCAACUUUUUCAUCUUAUGAACGCCUGCUCACAGUCAGUCACACCUCAUUCUUGUUUUGGCAAAUCAAUGAACAAGAGUAGAUGGGUGGGUGUUAUAUACUUCUAUAGUUUAGUUGUUAGCCUGAUCCAUUAAGCCAAUAGGGUCUAUCCCAGGUUGCUUGGCUACAAACAGCCAACUAACCUCAUUUAAUUUGGGUAGCACAGUUGUCAACCAGACAUGUACAGGCCUGACCUUUUCCCCUAUUUUUUUAUUUUGAGCACAUACUAGCUAAACCAAUGUGACGUUUGCAUGUUGUAUUCAGCCCAGCCUUAGCCUUUUCUUAAUCAGAUCGAGAUUCACCUGAUCUAACCCAUUGUCACCCCCAUUCGCGGCAUGCCCAAAACCCACACACACCCCUAUUUUUUUGGUAUCCAAACCAGUAGGUGCAUGUGCUACACACAAAUGGGUUAGCAUUUUCUUCUAGAUGAGUCAAUCACUUAAACUUCUAUUUGUGAUUUUUUUUUAAAUUAAGUUGACCAGUUAAUAAAUGAUUGAUUCUAGAGAGUUAAUUCAAUCAGUUUGUCUCAGCUUUUAGGACAACAUAUUCCAUCAUUAACAAUUCAAACUGAUUAACUGGAAAUGUUUGUGCUAAGACAUUUCAUUAAUGAGUUAUACCAGAAGUUAAUUGAAAGGAAAAAAAAGAAGAUAGAAUAAAGAAAGAAAAUAAAAGGUAGUAAAAGGGACUUAAUGUUAACAAAUAUUCUUAUAGCUGGAUUCCUCCUAUGAAACUAAUAGUUUCUGAUGGCUU